UACGUAGGGGGCGAGCGUUGUCCGGAUUCAUUGGGCGUAAAGAGCUCGUAGGCGGCUUACUAAGUCGAGUGUGAAACCUCCAGGCUCGACCUGGAGCCUGCACUUGAUACUGGUAUGGCUUGAGUCCGGUAGGGGACCACGGAAUUCCUGGUGUAGCGGUGAAAUGCGCAGAUAUCAGGAGGAACACCGGUGGCGAAGGCGGAUCUCUGGGCCUUGCCUGACGCUGAGGCGCGAAAGCUAGGGGAGCGAACAGG
rnacentral:rRNA from 1 species